rnacentral:tRNA from 1 species
GCCUGGGUGGCUCAGUCAGCUGGGUGUCUGACUUCUGCUCAGGUCAUGAUUUCACGGUUUGUGAGUUCAAGCCCCACAUCAGGCU